GGGCCCGUGGCUCAAUGGUUAGAGCGUUGGACUUCUGAUCAACAGGUCGCGGGUUCGAGCCUCGGGUCGA
rfam:Schistocephalus solidus strain NST_G2 genome assembly, scaffold: SSLN_scaffold0001165